ACGCAGUUGUUUUAAUGUGAGACUGUUGGCUACACCAUGGAGAAGAUCUGGAGAGAGAUGCAUUUCAAAUGAAUAUGUCAUUAACAGAGAAGCCAUGCAGCUUCCUGUAGAUGCAAUCAUGUGCAUCUCCUCCUCCAUGGAUCCUCUAGAGCUCAGUUAUUGUGAGAAGUUCAGGCUCUGCUGCUUAUCUAGCAGGCUGAGAGCUACACCACUUCCUUUUACUGUGGUAAGGCUGCUGAGCACAAACAUAACAUGCACUUACAAUGUAUUUGAAAGAAAAUCAAAUGUGAAAAAACACCUUGGAAUGGAAUUUUGACUUGACAUUCAAUCAAUAUAAGCCUCUUUUAUUUUAUGAGACAUUAUACCGUUGACAAGAAACAAAAUGUUGGCUGGAGCGCAAUAUCUGCGUUAAAAAAAAAGCAGCAAGAUUAGUUACCAUAUUUGGAUGUGUGCAAUGGGUGUGCACUCCAAACACAAUGAAAAACUUCUUGUGCCAUCUUGUCUUUCUGGCCUUAUAUGUACAUGUGGCUUAUUUUUCUUCAAGGAGUAGAAAAAGUACAGGAAGUUGUUAUGACACUUUUGACUUCCUCUGCCAUGCCCAAAACGACCAGUAGCGACCACUAGCUAACCAACUGACUUACAAAUUUGAAUAAUUGACACACAACUUCACACCAACUGAUGUUAUGUGAAGUUAUGUAUACAGGAAGUGUUGUGUAUUGUCAUUGUUGUUUAGCAUUAGCUCUGCUCCAUUUUAUCUGUAAAACAACAUGUGACAUGGAAUCCCUGCAGUAUGGAUUCCUCACAGAGGCCCCAGGUUCUCGUCAGUCAUACCUCAACAUGCCAGGACGACCGGCCCGAACGCGUUUCUGUGAGCGUGUCGAAACCACACAUGAGAGCGCUACCUGAUGGAGCUUCUCUUUGUUUUUGUUUGAAGUAAUGGUCUAGGGAAAUUACGCUCAUUUGUUUUUGCUCUGCAGAGUUAAAUCGGGCAUCAGCACAAAGCUGCAAGAGCACUGCAAGAGGUUGAGGACUCCUAACAUGAUGAGGAGACGAAACAGGGACCACCUCUGGUCACUACUUAGCUAUUUAAAUACAAAGCAGGUUGAUAUAUUCAACCACUCCCUAGUGAAUUACCAAAUUUCAGAACUGAGCUUUUCCAUUCAUUUUAAUGGAGGCUAACAACUGCGCCAGAAAAUGGAUUUGUAUUCAAUCCCUUUAAGUUAAGUCAUUAAUGUCAACAGAUUAAUGUCAUUAAUGUCAACAGAUAUCAACCCCAAAAACACUGAGUUAAAUCUGAGUUAAAGAGGCCAGCUGAAACAAUGCAAAUUCAACCUUAAAGUAAUAACUUUGAAAUAUGCCAGAAUACAAACCAGCCCUGUUUUGUCUAUAAGACAGUGUAUACAGUAGCCAUAUAAAUUAUUCAUACAGACUAGCUGCAACAAGUCUACGAAAGGGUAGGAAAGGAAAGAAAGUCUUUUUCUCCCUCCGUUCUAUCCAUCAGGCCAUUCUCUCCUCCGUUCACCACACAUCAACUCUAAAUACAGAUGAAGGAGCAUGAUUCACAGCUAAAUGUCCUUAGAAGGAAAAGCAGUUGCUCUGUAAACAAAGAUCCUGUGACAUAAAUGCAAAAUUAUUCUCUCCCCCUGUCUCCCAACACUAUAUUUAGAGUCACGGAUCAUUCCUUAAACUACUGAAGGAGAAAAGACCAAACAAGUAAAACAGACCUAAUUCGAAGUGCCUGGUCCUUUUAUAACAACAUACACUUUGUUGCUGAAGGCAGUCUGACACCAAGGUUUAACCAUGCAUUGCAGUUCUCGGACCUAUGAGCAAUGGAACCAAUCCAACAAAUAAAUGUGCUGCUGCAGGGAAGACGUGUACCGGUAACCUCUUUUUGGCAGGAGUAUCAACAGCAACUCUGGACCUGACGAGACUCGGCAGGUUAUGUGCUUUUCAAAUAUGUAUGUAUCCAUUAGCCUUGCAAAACAAAAAUUUGUGAGAAGAAGACACUGUGGUUGGAGACGAACCUCAGUGUAAAGUUUAAACAGAAUCCACUGAAUGUGGAUACAACCAUCCAGGAGUGAAACAGCCCUCACUGAGAAUUCUUCAACAUUCUGAGCUGAGCUCACUUUGGAACUGAAUGUUAGCAGGUGGGAGAUUGUGCGAAAACAGGUUUCUGCCUGGAGCUGAUUCACCGAGUGAGGUAUUUUUGAAUGCACUGGACUCAGUCUGUAUGUUUGCAUAGUUCUGGGCCUUCACGCCAAGUGUUCCACUAACAACACGACGACACUUUUUCUUAUGUACGUUGUUAUUAGGUCUGUUUUAAUGAGAUAUAGAAGUCGACUGAUUUACAUGAUUUACAAUGAAACUUGUUGAUGGAACUGAAAACACAAAUAUUAACAAGGUGCUGUCAUUUUCAGUUGCAUUCCUAUUUUUUAUGGCAGUUCAUUGCAGGGUCAUGCACAAUAACCAGGGGAGGACAAAAAACUGUACAGGACGAGAAUCCUGCAGACAACCUGAGACUAAAGCAGACAGGGAUAUUUAGGUCUAAAUAAGAGAUGACCACUGUCUAAUGUGUAAUUUAAAACCAAUUUUAAGCAAAAUGUGCUCUGCUGCCACUUAUUU